AUAGGAUGAAGCGAUAUGAAGAAGGAGCCGUUGAGAAUGUAUUUCAUACAAAAUUAUAGCAAUCAAAUCACCUAACCAAGGGCGACAAUUCCAGCUACAAGCGAGGGCAUGGAAGCAAUGUGUUACAUGGUAGUGGAUGCUUUAGAGACAGCUUCGGUGGACAUCAUUAAACUCAUAAGGAAGGUGAACACAGAGAAAGGCCUGACUAUGGUGGUACUCACACUCGUAAGCCUCAAUGUUAUUAUUGUAAAACAUUUGCCCAUAUUGAGAAGUUUUGUAGGUUGAAGGAACGUGCUAAAAUUGCUGCAGAACAAAAAGAAAGUGAAAUAGAAAGUUCAUUUUUUGCCUAUUAUGCUAAUGUGUGUGUUGCAGAUGUUUGGCAUAUUGACAUGGCUGCAGUAGUCAUAUGACGGCAAGCUUGGAGGUUUUUUCCACAUUGGAUAAGUCUGUUACAACCAAGGUGAAGAUGGGUGAUGGAGCAAUUUGUGAAGCACUUGGUCGAGGAGAUGUGGUGAUAAACUUUGGGAAACCGAUGUGCAUUAAAGGUGUAUUGUAUGUUCCUGACUUGGAUUCUAAUUUAUUGAGUGUGGGUCAAUUUCUUGGAGAGCGGCAUUCCCUUGUGUUUUUUUAAGCAACACUAAGAAGCAGCUUUUACUUAAAGUUCCCAUGGCUAAGAAUAAUUUGUUUUCUGUCACUUUAAAUGGUGACAACCAUGCACUGAAAGUCUCUUUUGAUGAUGAUACUUGGUUGUGGCAUUAUAGAUACGGACACUUGAAUUUUCGAAGUUAGAACAUGUUAGCUAACUCUAGUUUGGUGCAAGGUCCGCCUCCUUUACAUGCUAAAAACCCCAUAUGUGAAAGUUAUGUUAUUGGAAAGCACCGUUGAGAUGCUUUUUUCGAAAGGUCAGGUAUGGGUAGCCUUAAAACCUAUAGAUUUGGUGCAUGUGGAUGUUUGUGGGCCUGUGCGCACACUGUCCUUGAAUAACAACAAAUAUUUUAUCGUCUUUGUUGAUGAUUUUAGCAGGAUGACAUGGGUUUAUUUUGCCAAAUACAAGUCUAAUGCAUAUUAGAUUUUCAAACACUUCAAGGCUUUUACAGAAAAGUGAAGCGAAUAAGCUUUAAAAAUCUUGAGGAUAGAUCAGAGCAGAGAGUUACUUUUCUCUGAAUUUGAUAUUCGAAGACAGUUUACUGCAAGUUUUACACCUCAACAAAACGGUGUAGUAGAGAGGAAAAAUCUCAGUCUUGUGGGGAUGGCAAAAAGUAUGCUUAAAGCAAAAGGUAUUCCUAAAUAUUUCUGGGUGAAAGCAGUUCACACGGCAACCUAUCUUCUCAACCGAAGUCCUACGAUGGCACUGCAUCACCAAACUCCUUAUGAAGCAUGGACAAAAAAGAAGGCGUGCUGGUUGAAGAAAGCAUUGUAUGACCUCAAGUAAGCACAAAGGGCCUGGUUUGACAAGACUAAUGGGCAUUUUCUGAAGCAUCAGUUUAAGAGAAGUGAAAGUGAACCAUCUUUGUAUGUCAAGACAAAGGUUGACAUACAAAGGGAGCUGAUGAGUGAUUGGGCAGGUUCUUUUGAUGAUCGAAAGAGCACUGUUAGUUCUGUUUUCAAUCUUGGAUUAGCUGCAAUCUCCUGGAGCUCAAAGAAGUAAUCAUCUGCUAUAUUGUCUUCAUGUGAAUCAGAAUACAUGGCAAUUACUUCAACAACAUGUUAAGCUGUUUGGCUUCAAAGAAUUUUGGCGGAUAUAAAGCAAAAGCAAGCAGAGGCAACAACAAUCUAUUGUGAUAACCAAUCCACAAUUGCUAUGACGAAAAAUCCAAUGUACCAUAGUGGCAUUAAGUAUAUUGAUACCCGACAUCACUUUAUAAGAGAUUUGCUCACAAACAGGAGCAUCAAGAUAUCUUAUUGCAAUACAAAUGAGCAGCUUGCAGACUUGUUUACAAAACCACUUCAUUUAAUGAAGUUUGAGACGUUCAAAGAUCAAUUGGGUGUCGCAAAUUUUCCGAAGUAAGGGAGAGUGUUAAAGCUACUGUUGCAGAAAUUCCUUAUUUGCAGUAUUUGAUUGAGUCAAUAAGUUGUUUAAGUCAAUAAAUUAGUUCUAAAAAUCAAGUCUUUUCUAUUAGUAAUGGGUCCUUAUUUUUUUCUUAUAGUUUGGUUGUUUAUUGGAAUUCUAUUUUUUCUAACCCUGUAUUAAAAGUC